UUUCCUUUAUACUUUGGACUUUUUUAAAAAAACACUUCUCCCAUGUAAGAUAAUACAUUUAUGAUUUAGGUAGCACAUAUUAAAAAUUAAAGCCUGUGAAAUGAUAGGUAUUUGAAAGACUUAGUAUCGUGGAAGGAGAGUUUUAGUCCUUCAUGAGGAGGUACGCUAAGUACUGUGAUCAUUGUAAAUGGUAAGUUUUUGCCGUUAUUGAGGUCUGUACUUUAAAGAGAGAGUAGCCAGUAGUGUUGUUUACUUCAUCAUUACUUUAGAGUCACAUUUGAAUUAAACGUGUGCUAAAAUUCACCAGGCAGUAAAUCUCUAUUUCUCAAAUAAAAAAAAAAUAUUAGAAGAUAUUUACAAGAGAGGUUGGAUUUAGUGGAAAAGAUCAGUCUUCCUAUUGUAUUACUUCUAAUACCCUAAUACAAAUAUAGGUGAAAAAGGAAUAAACUUACUUUAAAAUGGA